UAAGUCUUGAUCCUUCCCUGUCCAGUGAUAACUAUGAGCAGCUAAUUGUAGCAAUCACAGCCUUACAAGGACAAGGUAACCAGGGCUCAAACACCUCAGGGAUGAAGGUCUGGAUCAUCCUACUGCGAAAACUGCCUAGGCUUAGAGUGAGAGGAAUCUAGAAUGGAUAGAAAGGGGGAAGGGUGUGAUGGAUUUCAAUUAUGACAUCAGAUCCAGCUGUGAAAACAGGAACUGCAGCUUAUUCUUUUCUCACACUUGAGAAGAAUUAGAGAAGCUGACUAAAAAUAACCAGAGCGCAAAGAGGAAAGUGGAUUUCCUGGCAUCAGAGUUUGAAGGCUUUCUACAAGACUCAAGAUAAGAUGGAAUGCUGGUGGAUUCUGCUAAAUUUUGUCAGCUUUUCCUGAGGUUAAAAGGAUGGCAGAUUCAACACUGGCUGCCACCUUUAGAAGCAGCCAUCUUGGAUGAUGAGGCAACUUGAUGAUGGCAACUAUGUACUAAGGAUAGAGGAGAAGAAAGAUAGAAAGAGCCUGCAUCCCUGAUGAUGUUGAAAGACUGCAUCCUAGCCAUGGACUGCCUCCUUCUGCAGUUCAUAUUAUCUCUGUGAACCUUGAAGUCACCAGCAGAGAAACCCCAAGGAAGGGCUGAGGUUGUUCCAGUUUGGGUGAAGGUCUAUGUGGCCAGGAAGAUGGGACACUGGGAUUGGCCCAGCCUGGGUCACACAGCCACCUUGGUGGUGGUGUUGGUAGGAGGCAGAGUCAAUCGAGUGUGGUACCAGAAUGGGGCAAGGAAGUGAGUGCUGGAAAACAAAGACUGGAGCUCUCAUAUGCCUCUUAUUUGCCUCUUGAGGAUAUUGAGAAAAUACACGUCUGCUAAACUCCUUGAAAUUUUUUGUACCAGUAAUAUAAGGAAUCGCUAUCAUCAGCAUUCUCAUCCCAGUCUUUGCGGCCUUUUUCUUUCCUAUCAGACUUACACUAGAUUUAGAUCUCACUUCUUUCAGUGCUGAGGCAGCUCCUGGAAGGCCCUGCAAAGCUAAAACCCCAAUCGCCCCUCCCACCCCACCACUACACUGGUGACAGAAUAUGUGAUGCAGAGACAAGGCAGCAACAUCCACUACUGAAACAGCCCCUUUCAGGGGGAAAAAGCAUCAAUGUCAAAACUGCCAAUAAAGGGUCUACAGAAAAAACACAAAAUCAUCCCCAAACUAAACAGCUGCCUGGCGUGGGGUAUUGCACUGCAAAAUUUCCCAGCUGUGUGUGUGUAUUAAUCAUGUCUUUUUAUUUUCCAUACUCUGAUGCUUUGACAUGUUGGGGCCCUGCUGACCCUGGAGGGACUGCCCCUCCCAGGGUUAGCUAAUUCCAAGAGAUAGCACCAACUCGCCGAGGAGCCUGCUUUUCAAAUGCCAACCAACCAAUGCAGAGCCCACACCCCCAACCACCGCCUCUACUGGAUUCUCACUCUCUGGGCCACUAUCCACCUACCCUAGUCACUCCAAAACCAGAUGCAAAAUUAAAGAAGCUAAGAAUCCACUCAAGGUCACACAGCUGGUAAGUGACACAGCCAGAUUCAAAGCCAGGUCUGACUCCAAUGCCUGUGCUGAUUGCACCAUGCCAGUGAGUCUCAAAGCAGGACCGACAUCACCUGGAACUUGUUAGAAACACAAAUUCUGGGCCCCACCCCAGACCCAUCGAAUCAGGAACUCCAAGCUCUGAUAUGGUUGUCAGGAAUGUGGUGGAAACAAGCGAGAUUCUUGGAUAAAUAGCAUCUUCAGGGAAAUCUGAGCUUAGGAAGGUGGGUGGCAUCUUUUAGCUCUAAUGAUCCAAGAGGGGCCAAGGAUCCAUAACACAGCAGCAGUCUCUUUUUAAGGCUAAGGGUUAUUGCAGAAGGAAUGAAAUGAGAUAUUAUCGAAGAAAAGACUUCAUUGAAAGACUUUAAUUGCUAUGGUUUCCCUUGACCUAUGUUGAUACAUAAAUAUUUCACUUUUUACUACAUAUAACUAUGGAGAGUAUUUCAUUUCAUAGAAGAUCGUUAUGUUUUGUGCACUAGAUGUCAGUAGAGCUCUAUGGUUCAGCUAGUACAGCUACCCGACUGAGAUGAUCUGUGCUUGGAAAAUAAACUCCUUGUGCUUUUGCUUAUUUUGCGUUUCAUACCGAAUGGCCAUGAAUUUGUGUCCUCGCCUCACACCCACCCUCAUUUCCAUCCCACUAGAAUUCUGCUUUCAGCAC
rnacentral:lncRNA from 1 species